rnacentral:rRNA from 1 species
UACGGAGGGUGCGAGCGUUGUCCGGAAUCACUGGGCGUAAAGGGCGCGUAGGCGGCCUGGUAAGUAGGGGGUGAAAUCCUGCGGCUUAACCGCAGGGCUGCCUUCUAAACUGUCAGGCUCGAGCACGGUAGAGGCAGAUGGAAUUCCCGGUGUAGCGGUGGAAUGCCGUAGAGAUCCGGAAGAACACCGGUGGCGAAGGCGGCCCGCUGGGCAGGAAGGGGUGGGUAACCCAUCCCGGCUGACACUGAGGCGCGGACAGCGUGGGGAGCAAACAGG